GGUCCAGACUCCUACGGGAGGCAGCAGUGGGGAAUAUUGCACAAUGGGGGAAACCCUGAUGCAGCGACGCCGCGUGAGUGAAGAAGUAUUUCGGUAUGUAAAGCUCUAUCAGCAGGGAAGAAGAAGGACGGUACCUGAGUAAGAAGCCCCGGCUAACUACGUGCCAGCAGCCGCGGUAAUACGUAGGGGGCAAGCGUUAUCCGGAUUUACUGGGUGUAAAGGGAGCGUAGACGGCGAAGAAAGUCUGAAGUGAAAGCCCGCGGCUCAACCGCGGAAUGGCUUUGGAAACUUUUUUGCUGGAGUACCGGAGAGGUGAGCGGAAUUCCUAGUGUAGCGGUGAAAUGCGUAGAUAUUAGGAAGAACACCAGUGGCGAAGGCGGCUUUCUGGACUGAAACUGACGCUGAGGCACGAAAGCGUGGGGAGCGAACAGGAUUAGAUACCCUAGUACG
rnacentral:rRNA from 1 species